rnacentral:rRNA from 1 species
GACGAACGCUGGCGGCGUGCUUAACACAUGCAAGUCGAACGGAAAGGCCCUGCUUUUGUGGGGUGCUCGAGUGGCGAACGGGUGAGUAACACGUGAGUAACCUACCCUUGACUUUGGGAUAACUUCAGGAAACUGGGGCUAAUACCGGAUAGGAGCUCCUGCUGCAUGGUGGGGGUUGGAAAGUUUCGGCGGUUGGGGAUGGACUCGCGGCUUAUCAGCUUGUUGGUGGGGUAGUGGCUUACCAAGGCUUUGACGGGUAGCCGGCCUGAGAGGGUGACCGGCCACAUUGGGACUGAGAUACGGCCCAGACUCCUACGGGAGGCAGCAGUGGGGAAUAUGGCACAAUGGGCGGAAGCCUGAUGCAGCAACGCCGCGUGCGGGAUGACGGCCUUCGGGUUGUAAACCGCUUUCGCCUGUGACGAAGCGUGAGUGACGGUAAUGGGUAAAGAAGCACCGGCUAACUACGUG